AUGGAUGUGAUGAUUAUUUCCCCAGAUGAUCGAAGCUGAACAUUCUGUGCGACUUUUUGUUUCUCUUUUGAGAUAUCAAGCCAAAUAAUCUGAUCCAU
rnacentral:snoRNA from 1 species